GGCUCGGGUCUCAUGUCUU
rnacentral:snRNA from 1 species